rnacentral:rRNA from 1 species
UGGUGGAGUGAUUUGUCUGGUUAAUUCCGUUAACGAACGAGACCUCGACCUGCUAAAUAGUCCGGCUUAUUCUUCGGAAUAGGUGCGUGACUUCUUAGAGGGACUGUCGGCCGCUAGCCGAAGGAAGUUCGAGGCAAUAACA